rnacentral:rRNA from 1 species
CCUACGGGUGGCAGCAGUGGGGGAUAUUGCACAAUGGGGGGAACCCUGAUGCAGCGACGCCGCGUGGGUGAAGGAGUAUUUCGGUAUGUAAAGCCCUAUCGGCAGGGAAGAAUUUAGACGGUACCUGACUAAGAAGCCCCGGCUAACUACGUGCCAGCAGCCGCGGUAAUACGUAGGGGGCAAGCGUUAUCCGGAUUCACUGGGUGUAAAGGGAGCGUAGACGGCCAGGCAAGCCUGGAGUGAAAGCCCGGGGCCCAACCCCGGGACUGCUCUGGGAACUGUCCGGCUGGAGUGCGGGAGGGGCAGGCGGAAUUCCUGGUGUAGCGGUGAAAUGCGUAGAUAUCACGCAGAACUCCGAUUGCGAAGGCAGCAUACCGGCGCUCAACUGACGCUGAGGCACGAAAGCGUGGGGAUCGAACAGGAUUAGAUACCCGAGUAGUC